UACGAAGGGGGCUAGCGUUGUUCGGAAUUACUGGGCGUAAAGCGCGUGUAGGCGGGUCUUUAAGUCAGGGGUGAAAUGCCAAGGCUCAACCUUGGAACUGCCUUUGAUACUGGAGAUCUUGAGUCCGGGAGAGGUGAGUGGAACUGCGAGUGUAGAGGUGAAAUUCGUAGAUAUUCGCAAGAACACCAGUGGCGAAGGCGGCUCACUGGCCCGUUACUGACGCUGAGGCACGAAAGCGUGGGGAGCAAACAGG
rnacentral:rRNA from 1 species